rnacentral:rRNA from 1 species
GGACUACUGGGGUAUCUAAUCCCGUUUGCUCCCCUGGCUUUCGUGCCUCAGCGUCAGGAAAUGUCCAGAGACUCGCCUUCGCCACUGGUGUUCCACUUGAUAUCUACGCAUUUCACUGCUACACCAAGUAUUCCAGUCUCCCCUCCAUUCCUCGAGCCAGCCAGUAUCCAACGCAGUUUCCGGGUUGAGCCCGGAGAUUUCACGUCAGACUUGGCCGACCGCCUACGCACCCUUUACGCCCAGUAAAUCCGAACAACGCUUGGGACCUCUGUAUUACCGCGGCUGCUGGCAC